CAGACGCGCGGCGCGGGCCCUCGGGGUCACGGGGGCAGGGCGAGGCCGGGCCGCUCCGUUCCGCGGCACCUGCGGAGCCCUCCGCGCGGCCCCGGCGCGGCGCUCCUCCGUCUCGGCGCCCUAACUUUGUGCUCUUUCUAUUCCCCUUUCUUUCCUCGCUCUGCGCGCUACCGCAGCCCUCGGAGCACCGCCGCGGCGGGAGCCAUCCCGCACGGAGCGGGGCUUCGGCUCCGUACCGCGGUCGACGGACCGAGAGAGGGCACGGGAGCCGCGGUCGCGGCCGGCGGGCGGAGCGCAGCCGGAGCCGAGCCGCCCGCGGGUCACGGCCGCGGCCCCGCGGGGCUCCGCGGGAUCCGAAGGGCUCCGCGACCCGCGCUCCGUCCCGGUGCCGCACGCAGGAACGCGGCGGCAGCCGCAGGUGCUGCGGAGCCGCGGUUUCGGCGGGCACAAAGCCGGGACCCCGCGGGUGGGGGAUGCUCUGCGGCUCCGUUACACGGCGCUGCCCGAGCACGACGACCCGUGCCCGAGCUCCGGGGAGGAGAAAGGCGUCCGUCCCCGGUAGAAGGGUGUGAGCGCCUUCUGUGACCCCGAGGACAAGGGCCGAGCUCCGGGCAGGGACGGGGCGCGAGGCGCAGAACGGUCCCACGUUGCUGCUGAGGUUGGAUUUCCCGAGGAAUAAUAAUAAUAAUAAUAAUAAUAAAAAUAAAAGCUUCCCUGCCUCCAACCUGACAAAGUAAACAGGAUUAAUUCGCCAUGUGCAAAAACAUUAAUACCGUCCUCAGCGCGGAAAUCGGAAGGGAAAGCAGUUUUCGCAGCACCCACGAUAUUAACACACGAUCGUAGCAAUGCAAAGCCACUGAUACACGCUCACACACCGCCGUGCCGCCGAUUGCUCGAGCAUUAAUGAAGAAUGCCCCGCAUUAACUAUUUGCUCUUCGAGGGAUGGAGAGGUGCAACUCUCCAUGAGCACCAUCCGCCGCUUUGCCAUUUGUUUGCGAGUGGGCUGAGGCAGAGCGGGCGAAGGGAAAAAUGAACUGAGGUUCAUUUUGCUAAAUCCUAUUUGAGACCCGAACGCCUCGCGAAGAAGGGGACAUUCUCCGCUGUCCUUCUCCGAGCCCCGUCACAAUAGAAAUGCUCUGUUUAGAAGUAAGGCUCUAUUGUUUUUAUUCCAAAUAAAUAAGCGCAUCCCUCCUGCCAUUUUACUGCAGAUGUAAAUUUAUUGUAAUGAGAGGGAGUGGAAGGAUUUAUUUUGCUAAAAUAGAGUUGGGGAUAGAGCCGGUGUAAAUCUUGGGGUUUUUUAAACAAGGAGGAAGAGAGGGAAGCUGCUUGCCUGGCAGAAAGCUGCCUUGCAGCCCUCUAAUUCUUUCUAGAUUAAAUCGCAAUAUGAAUAGAGCAUCGAACAAAUACCGAGUUUCGCUCUGAACUCAGUGGAAAGCAGUUACGUCUAACAGAAUUCAAUGAAUUCCUCUUCUCCCUCAAUGUAGUAUGUGUGUGUUUUUCUCUUCCACCACACUGAAGUUCCAUGAAUAGGGAAAGUGGCUCCUAUUGUGUGCCUCUGAACUUCCAAGUCAAUGCAAUUUUUAACCACUGGCUUGUGGUACUUUGAAAAUCACCAGGGGCUGUCAGAGUUGGGUCCUCUGAAAAAUUUACAGUGCUAAAUCAGAGCAUAUGCUGUGAGAGAGGAAAAAAAAUUGCUUAAGAUUGGAGCAAGUACAGUAUCUGGCUGCCCCCUAGUGUAAGUCUCUUAUCUGCCUAAAAUUCAACUUUAAAAGAAAAGGAUCUCUUAAAGGGAAACGACUUUUGGCUCACGUAUGCAUACGAGAAUGAAACUUCUGUACAUUUUAAUCUGAUUAAUUCCUAAGGAUUUAAAAUUAAUUGGCUUGGGCACUCCUAGACCGGACUAUAAGAUUUCUGCAUCAGGGUUCCUACCAGCCCUGUGCCGAAUAGGAACCGUGCCUCGCAUGCGGCUGUCAGAGCAAAACACUUUUGCUGCUUAAACUCAGAUCUGCGCCUUUUGCCGUAAUAAAGCAAGGAUAAAUAAUUGCCAUAAAGCCUCCGCCGCGCCGCCAACCACACCUUCGGAGGAGACGAACUACCACAAGACAGUGUGCUUAUGGGGACCAAAUAUGUGAAGACAGAGUUGAUGGAUCUGGAGCCCUGACUGCUGCCCGGCAAUGGCUCAACAUGGACUGCUCUCAUCCUGGCUGCUCUUCAACAGUACUCUGAACUGCAUGAAGACUUAAGAACCAAGCCAACAGCAAGAGCAUGACCAAGAAUCUGAGAAUCAAGUCCGCACCAAGUGCGUGACCAAGUGUUUACUCCUCUUCCAGACCAUACCUGAAACACGGCGUGAAAUUUCAUUCUCUUCUUCUGCAGGUUCCUGAUGCCAAAGGUCUGACCUUACAAUGAGCAGCACACGGGGUGAGAUCGGGCACUGCACUGAGCUUCACACACAGCUAUUUUGGUAACCAGAACAGUGUAGUCAGGAUAGUACAAGCACAAGCACAGUGAAGGAUUUAUCAACAUAUUAACUCUGUCAGUGCUGUGUCCCUGUACAGGUUCCUGUGUCUAUUUCAGAUCAUAAACUCAGGCUUGAAGAAAUCUUUGUCUGCAGGAGAGGCUCAGCCUGGCUUACUGCCACACCACUGCCCUUGUUAAUCCACAUACUUCCAGCCCUGAUGCACUGGGACCACCACUGCUGGCCAAUUUCUAGCAAAAUCUUGUUGCCUAGAUCCUGCCAACAACCAGGGAACAAGCGCAAGCCAGCAGAGAAAAUGAACGACCAGAAGUACCAGGAUCCUGCCAUCCUAUCCUCUGCUGUCAGGUUGGGGUCACAACUGCCAUUUGGAGAAGCUUCCAUGGAGAUGUGAACAGAAUAUGAAUACAAUUCUGUGUUUUGUUCCACUAGGAAGAUUCCCCCUAGCUCAGCCACAGUGGAGGAAGCCUUGCAGACCCCUUUGCAGACAGAACAGCUGUAUUUUGAGGGGUUCUCCGAAGCGGUCAGGACCCUGUUCUUGUGGAGCUCUCGAAAAUGCUUUUGAACUGGCAUGAGAAAUCACCUGGGACCCAGAGCAGAGCACAGGGCGCACAGGACAGUAUUUCCUCUGUGCCUUUUUUGCUGAGCAGAACUGCUGCACUAUAAACAAAUGUGAGUUUUGCCUCAUUCUUAGAUAGGGUGAGUUAUGAAAGCCCACUCCAGACAUAAUGAAUGUAUAGAUCAUUUUGACCAGAUCAUAAUCUAUGAGUAAAUAAUGUUCUCUGAAAAUGUAUAGGUGAAAUAAAGAACUUGCUACUAUUGCUCUAUUGGUAUCAGGGAUUACUGAUGAGGCCAACAUAGGUCUGAGUCUCUGUGCUGGAGUUUAUAUACAAUGCAGAACUAAUGGCAGGGUUUGGCUAGCAAAUUCCAUCCCAGAUCAGGAUAUUCAGGGAUUAUACAGCUGCAAACAGAACCUGAAACUACAGAAUUUAUCCGUCUCCAGACUUCAUCACAAGCCCCAAACUCAGAUUGGGGCACAAAACAUUUAUAAAACUUUGCCAUUAGGUUCCCCUCACUUUGGUAGUGAUAAUUAAUAAGCAAAUCCCAUAGCAAUUUUCAAAAGGAGCAGGACUCUGGUACACCCAGUCUAACAGCUAUGACUUCAAUGCACAGAGUAAGCCUGCGGACACCAUGCUUAGGACCCAAUGGCUGGCUGCUAUCACGGUCUCUACCACAAGGGAGUUAGUUUAAAAGAAGCUGGCACUGAAGUGACAUCUGUGUGCAAUGUGCUGCCCUGUCCAGACACUGGACUCCAUGUAUUUUGCCCUAAAACUGGAGAGGAAGGCACUGGGGGAAAAAAAAAAAAAAAAAAAAAAAAAAGAGGAAAAAAAUACGAGGGAAUAAAAGUACUUUUGAAAGAGAAGAAAUCUACAUUUCAAUGAAAAUCCUUUCAAGGCAUUUCAAAUAAGAGUCUGAGAGAAAUAAUUACAAAGUUUGGAGAGAAAGAACGUUAGCUUUGAUAUCUUUUUCUUCUAUGAAGCAAUUAAAAUAAGCAAUUUUUCAAAUACUAAGCAGAAAAUUACUAAUGGCUGAACCCAAAAGCUUUCAUUUCCUUCUUGGGGCCUUUAUUCUUCUAAAAAAAGACAAAAAAUGUGAAGGUGGUUUUCCAGAUAGAUUAAUGCAUAAAGCAGUCGCUAGUUGGAUGUCAUAAAAACUACAGCAGCAUAGAAUAGCUGAGAUUAAGAGCUAGAUCUAAAUCAUGCAACAGUCCAGUUAAUAUCAAUGUCUAAUUAAGAAAUGCAUAAGAAGUCUGUAAUGUUGAUUUGAUGGAGAAAAACUCUAAUAGGGUUUCUUUUGGAAUUUUCCAUUUCAAUUGCUGUGUAGACUUUUAAUGGAUGUCCUCUCCAGUCUUUGGUAUUAGCAGGAAUCAUCCUCAAAUUAAAACCAGGGCCUAAAAUGGAACACAGGUAGACAAAUUAGCUUGUCUGGGAAGCAGUCUGAAUAGCAUGACAAUGUGAGCUCAACCUGAAAUUUUAGUACAAAUAGAAGAGAACAAAUGUCUCAAAUCUGGUGUGGAAACCCUAUGUGCUUAUCGUUUAAACAAUUUAAAACCCUGUAAUUUCAAACAAUGCAAUGUAACCUGUUUCCUCACCUCCCUCAGCCUGCCAAAAUAUGCAGAAAGCCACAGACCAUUAAGAAUUAUUAAUUAGCCUUUUUAAAUUGGAAGACCUACUAUAGCCAUGUAGUCUUUCUGUAGCCAUGCAUGUUACUGUCACCUCAAAGUGGGCUCUUCUUGGCUUGUAACAGCAUUCAGUACACAUGGCUCCCUAUCACCAUCAACGCUGCAAUUAGUCUCCCACUCCCUCCUGGGUAACUAACACACUCAAACUUUGAGCAAAAUGAAACCUGUGGCAUCUGUCCCAGAUUAUCCAGGAUGUUUGGUCUCUAGGUAUGAAAGGAGAACUGGUUUUACAUUGCGUGUCACAGAUACCCUGAAGUUGUUAAGUUACAAGCAGUGUAACUGUUAGCACGCAUAAAUCCUCACAGCAAAGAGGGAGAAAGCAUAGCACUGGCUUAAAGCAGCAGUGUAUUUGUUAUCUCCACUUUGUUGUUGACCCAGCAAAUCCGGGGGGAAUUAUCUCAAGAAUCCAGGAAGACAGCAAACUCAAAAUAAGCCCUAUGACCUAAGGAGCAAGCACACUGGGGAGUCAUUUUUAAGUUCAUUAGAGCACAUUAAAAUACAAUACACUGACCAUGGUAAAGGCAAAGCAUAUUAUUCCUUCUGCCCACAUAUUUCUUUCAAGCACUAAAUCCAUCUAGAGUCCUUUCAGAAUCAUACCAUAAAGCCUUGCCACUUCACUUUACAAACAAAGCAGAAAAGACCAGAGGUAAAAUCAGAACAACAGUGAAAGUUUGGCACUUCCAAAUUGCUGUCAUUGCCUGAAAUGUCACAGUCUAAAUCCUUAUCUGGCAUUUUUCCAUUGAUCAAUGAGGCACAGAUGCUUUAUAUUAAAAAGCAAUACCACGGGACUGGGGAUGCCCCAAGGAUUGUUCUCCUUGAACAAGGGAGCUAUGACAUUCUCAGCACGGCACCCACUCUCUGAAUGAUGAGGCUCUAAUGAUGUGACAUUCAGCUCCAGAAGAGGAAUCUGAUUUUCCACAAAUAAUUCCACUUGACUGUAUGACUGGGGAACUACCAGGUUUUCAAAAUAAAAUGGAGCACAGCUUUUGCAGGAUGCUUUCCCUGCAAGCCUGGAUUAAUGUAACAUGUAGGAAAUAAGAGUAUGAAGCUGGCUGCCUUCUGCAAAUGAUACACAACAGAAAAAAUAAACAAACCUUAACUUGUCCAACACACUUGAGAGCCACAAAUUUCCUUACUGUUUUACUGAAGGAGAGGACAACUUCUUUCCUCCAUAAAACUAUCCUUUCAGACAUUACUACAGUCAUGACCUCACUGUGGUUCCUGGAUUCUUUCUGAAAAAAUGAAAUGAAUAAUACACCAGUGAUCUCAUCAAAGCGUAAAGGACAUCUUAUACAGGAGAAGAAAGAAUAUCUGGAGAACCUCAGUGCUCCAUCUGCAUAAAGACAGUAGAAAAAGGACUGUAACAUUGGAGAGAAUGAAAGAUUCGAUGAUGGAAACACAUUUUUCCAUCUUAUAAACAAUUAGGAUUCGUUUUACCUAUCACAUUGGCCAUCCUUCUAGCUGUCCCUACAGGUGUUCUUUUUUUCUCGUGCCUUUAUCAAUACCUUCUCUUGUCUCUUCUGUGCUUUUCAUACAUGUUUCAACAUACUUGGUUACUCUUUGAAUCAUACACACUAGUGUUCUCAACAACACUCAAAAUAUAUUUUUAGGAUACAACACAGUGCUGUUAUACAAAUAUUCACAAACUUCAUUCAUAGCUUAGAUAAUUCUGGCUAAGGACAUGUUUCUUCAUGUUCAUGUAGUUCUGAGGCCAAGGAGUCCUGGGUUAUGGGAGCUCCCAUGUAUUUUGUGGCCCUGGUACCUUCUGGCAGUAAUUGGGAGAGCAGGCAGGGAGAGGUGCUUUGUUUUCUUUGGCUGGACUGUCUAUGAAAGAGUAUUGGUAACUGACAAUUUCACCACAUUUUUCAAGCUGAGGCUGAAAACAAGAAAAUCUGCAGAAUCCGAGUACAGCAUUCAAGACGCAACAUCAUCUCUUGCACCCACAGGUGCACCUCACUCUGGCCUGAGAUCACAUGUUAAGUGAUGCAAUGACAAACUGGUUUCCUCACGCCACAGCUGAAUGUCACAUAGCUGCCCUGUGCUUGUGUCAGUGCUGUCAGUGCUCUGCCACAUCUCUGUUCCUCUAGGAGCACAGUGACAGCACAACCCUUUUCCUAUCCCAUCACCAUUGCCCACCUCUUGAUUGCUGCAGGCUUGGCAGGAGUAGACAAACCUAUUCCUUCCUACCUGCAUCACUGCUCAGCCAGGAAAAAGCCGUGGGGCUUUCCCUGCAGGGGAAAGUUUUAGCCAAACCAUCACUUCUGCCAAAAGAAUGACGAAUUCCUUGAGGUAGGCUUCCUUGGAUGCAAGUAAUUCUUCGGGCUAAAGCAGGGUUAUAGCUAAUACAUCUGAGUCACAAUGUGGAUUUGCACUUUACCUGUUAAAAGUAACUAGUUUAUGUCCAAAAUACAGAUUUUAUUCCUAACAUCACUUACAUCUUCACAGCUUCCACAUGAGAUGCAGAUGUGACAAGCUGAGUGACUGAGAUUUCUCUCACACUCAGCAGGAGAGCAACAUGUAAAAUACCUGUUUUUCAGAGGUGAGGUCACCAGCACCCCCACUGGCACAUCUGCUUUGCUGAAUAAAAGUCCAGAGAUUUGCAAAACUCCAACAUGCAUAAAUUGAGUUGAGUUCACUGGGCCCACACAAGAUAUCAUUUGAUCUACUCAUUUAAUAGCAGUUCAGUGUUUACUCUCUAUACAAAAUAUUUUUCUGUUACAUCAGCCUUUUACAUUUUUACAACAGUAGCAUCUCACCAGUCUUCAUACAUGGGUACUCAUGUAUUAAUAAAGGACAAUAAGCUAAGAGAAGUUACAAGAGAACUCAGGAUACCAAUAGGUCAAAAAAGAGCCUAAAUACAUUCAGUGGCUUCAGAAAAAUGCUAAUAUCCAAUAUUUCCCUGCUUAGACUGUGCAGCUGUUGAGAUGAAGCCUGAGCAGAGCUUCCAGAGGGACAUCCCAGAAGCCUUGCACAGAGCCACCCACAUUUGGCUUUAAUGGUUUCAAGUAUUUCUACUACUUUUUUUUUUUUCCCCACUCCUCAGAAAAAAAAUCUUCUGAUUGUAACACGUUUGCACUUGAUGCCUUAGGUAGUGGUUCUUGCUCUGUGACCUCUUACACAGUACUUUCUGCCUUAUACAGCAUACAUGAGAUAAGUGCUAGUCAUAUACAUCCUAAUUCUUUCUUGAUUUCAUCUGAUCUAGAAAUACCUUUUAGAUAUCUGCAAUAAAGAUUUCCAAAGACUUCUUUUGUGUGCACAUCUUCGUCUGUUGGGUUUGGUCUUUCAAUGUCAUCAUGAGUCUUACAGGAUACUUGCAACACAUGCAUCCAAACAUCAUUCAUUGUUAUGCAUUGUGCUUCCCAUCAUCCCCCUGUUGACUAUUCCUAAAGUAUUUUUUUGGGAUAGCAGAAGCAAAAUUGAUCAUAAUAAUGCAAGUGAGAAAACAGGGAACAGAUGACCAGCAAUAUAACUGUUUAAAUGGAAUUUAGACCUGCCAUUUCCAGAGCAAAUUGAUUUGAAUUAAAAACCAAGUGAUUUCAAAAGUCCGUUUAAUACUGGGAAAACUACGAGCACAUUUCAUCUACAUCCAAGAUCCCAGCCAUGAGAUUACAUAUCUCAAAAUAGACACCUCCUUAAAGAGGCUGUUUAAAUAAUAAAACUUCUUGUAAUAAUCAGAAGAGAUGCACUGAGGAGAGGAAGCACCUGCUUCACAAUGAAAAGUUUGAUUUUGGAAAAGACUCAUUAGGUUAAAGGAACUGCACUGUAGCAGACAGCACGGCUUAUGCUGAUCUUCAUGGAAGUGACUAUUUAAUUAAGAAGUAGACAUCUCAGUUUUCCCCUGAAACUUACACUAGAAAUUCAGUACAAAGGUUUGCUGCAUUUUAUCAGGUUGACUUCAUUACCUUCAGGAGUAAUAGAAAUUGCAUUUGUUUCCCUGGGCUGUGGAAUACAGAGAAACCCAUGAAAAGAAAGAGGAAAAAUAAGAGAUGCUGAUUUUCUUUGGCUGAAAUAAAAAAAAUAGGGCUUUGAGAACAUUUGAGUAUAGUAUGCCCUGGAUUUUUAGGAGAAGCUCAAAGAAACAAUUUCAAAGAAACAUUUUCUAAAUGCUUGUCUGUUAGCUUAUUUUCAUUUUGUGUUGCCAUGUAUAAUUACAAGAAACUUACAGAAGACCCAUAAGACUUUCAGUCUGUUAGAAAUGCCUUUUCCAAGAUUAUACUGUAGGCUAUUACUUCAGCCCGCUGGGUAUCAUGUGUAGGCAAGGUGUAAGAUUAGGCACAUGAAUAUUUCUGUCUACCACUUGUGUGCUGAGACAAUAUCAACUCACACAUUCUUCUGUCAUUGGUCCUUAUUCCAUCGAGGAUAUUCUUAAUUACCAGCAAGACAAUUGGGUAAUAUCAUAUAAAGCAUCACAGCAUCAUUCCUGUGAUGAUUUACACCUGCUAAGAGCCUGAUUAUUGAAUUUUACCAUAUAGUAAGCUCAGAAGGUAGACAAUAUUUUUCUACAGGACACUGUUUCUAUUUUUAAGAUAACUACUCUCCUUCUUCCAAUUCAUUGGCACAAUUCUCUUAAAAGACAGAAUGUCUGUACACACAGACACUGUUUCUGAACAUCUGAGCUGCCUUGAAAAACUCAGAGUGCUCCUAUAGUAGUUUAAAUCAACUCAAGUCUAAACACUGAAACACUGAAUCUGACAACGUGCAUGAGGGUCAUGGGGAGCACAUCCCUUCUUGGGGAUUCUAAAGAACACAAAAUGAAAUACACAGCAAUAAAAACAAGUUCACUGCAUCCCUUGUUCCACUUUGAGACUAUGGUUUUCUAUGGCUUUUAUUUGUAUUUAUAUAUGCAUUUAUACACAACCCUCGCAGGAUUAUUUCAAAAUCUUUGGGAAUGAUGGAAAUUCUGUCGAUUCCAGCCUCUGCUUUUCAUUAUGGAAGAUAUUUGUGCAACAGGUUUGCUGAAGAUGGAACACUAAUGAAACGGGUAAUUUCAUAAACGCACUGGGGAGGGUAAGUGUCCAACAGAAAAGAAGUCAAGCAAAAAUUAGUCUGCUUGAAACAAACAAACUAAGGAAUGCCUGCUAAAGAGUCAUGAAUUUCUUUAUAACACUUUUUUUUCCCUAAAUCACCUACAGAAACUCUGCAGCUGAAGAUGUUUUGAUAGCAGUUAUGAUCAGAACACCAGCACUUCUCAUACGUGAAAUACAACAUUGGGAAGGAUUUUUUCACUUCUCAAAUCACUCUUCUGAGGCUUUAUAUCAAUCUCAAGCAAUUUGCCUGGCCAUUUCUAUGAUAAAAUAGGUGUUUUUAUCCAUUUAGAAGAGCAAUAAAACUAAGGAAAAUUCAGGCAGAACAUGCUCUUUCUUUAAAGCUUCAACUCAUAGUAAGAAUCUGGUUUGUGCUGUACUUCUCUCAUGAACUCAACUUUCCAUAGUGCAUUAAGUGUUGUAAUAAUGCAAAUCAAAUACAAAUUUUAAUAACUCCUUCCAUUAAAAUGAUCUAUUAAAGUU